rnacentral:lncRNA from 12 species
CUCAUCUCUGUCCCCUCCUUCGUCAACUGCUGCUCUCUUCCCUGUAGAAGCCCCUUUCAGGCCCUAGUAAAUUGGACCCUGUAAGCCCAGAAUAGUUUCCAUCCUGUUUCCAUUAGAGGCUGGGUGGCUCCCACAGUGAGUCACUGGUUGCCCUGCCCAGAAGGGCCUCAAGAACAGACAUCAGCCACCAUUGACUGUUGAGCUGGGCUCAAGAUGGACCUAAAAAGGGAAGUGAGGGCUGCCUGGUUCCUGGAAGAUUCUAGAAUGAAAGAAGCCUGCUUGCCUUCUUGGGGGGGAAAGGAUGGCAUUUUAAACCAAGUGAUCACAUUGGACACACAUGAACUUCUGGGCUCCAGAUCGGAUGGAUCUCUUUUAUCUCUUUUAAGUUUUAGAAAAAGAGGAGAGAUGUGGCGUUUCCAGAUCCAGCCCUGCUACCAACUUUAGGAGCUGAGUUUCCUUACCUCAAAUGUGGUCGGAUGAGAGGCUUUCUGGGUGGCACCGGGCUGAGGAUAAAGCUGCAGAGGCACCAAAGGAGUCGCUAACUGUAUGCAGGUGCAACAUGCUUCCCCAGGGUGGGGUGUGGGAGGCGGGAGGGGAGAUCCCCCCAGUCCCCAUCUCCUUGGGUGCCAGGAACACGGGGGCCUUUGACACCCCAUCUGCUGCCCCCACCCAGCCCGCUCCUCGUCCCGCGUGGUGCUGGAGGGAGCCGGGGCCCCGGGGUUGUGUCUGGCAGCCCCACGCCCGCAGCCGCACAAUCCUGGGAUAAUUGCUUAUAUCUGUUUCUUCUCUUUUCCAGGCCUUGGAGAGUGUUCCGGGCAUGGACUUUGCACGGUGCGAUAACCUGCAAAGGCGGGCCUUCCAUUUACAUUUCAAACUCCAAGUCAGCUGUGUCAGAGUUUGAACCGGGGCUGCGGAGGAUAAUGGGUCAAAUGCAAUUAGCAGCCCAGAGAGCUGCAUGUUGCAGUCUGAUUUAUUUUUUUGCCCAUCAGAUUCCAAGAAUCCUAGUGCUUAAAAGCAACUAAACAAUCGCUCUAUUGUACUGAAAUAAAGCUCAGUUAAUUCAAAAAUCA